UACGUAGGGACCGAGCGUUGUCCGGAAUCAUUGGGCGUAAAGAGCGUGUAGGCGGCCCCUUAAGUCCUGCGUGAAAUCCUGCGGCUCAACCGCAGACGGUCGUGGGAAACUGGAGGGCUAGAGUGCGGGAGAGGAGAGUGGAAUUCCCGGUGUAGCGGUGAAAUGCGCAGAUAUCGGGAGGAACACCAAUGGCGAAGGCAGCUCGCUGGGACGGUACUGACGCUGAGACGCGAAAGCGUGGGGAGCGAACGAG
rnacentral:rRNA from 1 species